ensembl:lncRNA
AGAAGGGCUGGAACCAGCUUCCCCCCCUCCCUAAGCCUCAUUUAAGGGCUGGCUGCCCUAAGAGAAGGUUCUUUACCAGAAGGUCUCUCUUUUUGGGAGCACUUGGUGAGCCCUUAUCCUUGGGACAGAUGCGGGCACACACAAAGUGAUGGAAGGAAGGUUAUCAGCAUUAUCAAGACAUCACCGAUGAGUACAGCAAUCACAGCAAAGCCUGAGUGACAUCCUCAGCAGCUCCUGUACUUAAAUGAGCACAGAUGUAGAUACAGUAAAAGCACAUAAGCAAAGGUAGCUCCAGCCCAGAUCCCAGCAGCGUGGCAGACAGGAUGACUGACUGCACAGUCAUCUGCAGGAAGGAGGCUGACUUGCUAAUUGUAUGCAAAUGAGUAGGAAUUAAAACCAUUUGAAGGCGCUGUGAGCAGGAUGAAACGUAAAGCUUCCUUUGACAUUUAUUCAGAGGAGGAUAUUGUUUUCUGUGGCUGCUUGGUUCAUGUACGUUUUGAAUGAACUGCACUGCACCGUGUCACCCACUGAGUUAACAAUUUGUGACAAUUACAGUAAUUAUGCUGCUACAGUAGCAAUGCUAUUGCCCAAAUAUGCUCCAGGAUUGGCUUUACUUGAAUGAACACGAAUACCACGGGCCCGAAAAAACAUUUGUGGAUAUUGAAUCAUUUAAUUUUCUGAUUCUGUUAAUUCACAGUGUUGAAAUACCGAUAACCCUGUUCAUUAAAGGAGCAGCAGAGAAGUGCCAGACAAUUGAUACAGUGCUAAUGAAACAAAAGCUUUGCAGUCUCUCUGAGAAAAUGCGGUUGCAAAAUACGUGAAUGUGUCAUCUCUGCAAGCUGUGAAGAACCAAAUGCAGAGGUGACUCAUGUGAGGGCUGGAUGGAGCAGAGAGCCAGGAGGAGGUCGUGUGUCCUUGAAGCAGCAGUGACUCUGCGGUCCCACCUUCCAUUGGGCAAAGUCCCACACCUGGGUUUGCAUCCUGCUGCAGAAGAGCCUGGGUGGAUGCUGCCUACCAGGUGCUGCACACGCCUCCACGUCCAGGUCUUGCAUUUUUCACAUCUGCAAAAGACCAAAUAAGCUCCAAACGAGGCAGUGAGAAAGAGCUCUUAAUAACCUACUCAUCGAAUGUACCACCUUUCAUUCUGAAGUACACUUCCAGCCUUAACACAGCACUUCUCCAUCUCAGAGCCCAGUCUGUAUGACUUCUCUGUUGAUGGAUGUUUGUUCCUGAAGUCGUGAUCUUUUAGCCAAGCCUUAACAUGGAAGCCUUUUCUUCCAUCUCACCUCUGUAUUUUAAGAGGAAGCUGUGGCAUGAAAAGGAGAGAACAAUAUUGAAUACUCCACUUAACAGAUGAAAACUCAGCAAAGGCAACAGAGGACGUGGCUUCUUUUUAGAUUCCAAAUUACGCUGCAUGUGAAACAGGGAUAUUAUUCUGGAUGGGUCCUCUUGAUUUCUUGCCAAGGUCAGGACUGGAGCAUUCUGAUGAAGUGGUUGCUUGAGUUGCUUCAUCAGUUAUCUACUUCAGGGGGGAGCACCAUCAUGUGGAUGCCUGGAUCCCUGCUGGCUGCUGGGGAAGUAGUGUUUGGGGAAGACAUGUAAAUACCAGAGAGGACCCACAGCAGCUGGCUGUCCUGGACGUGGAACAGGCUGAGGAAGAGUUAAAGCAACACAGUGAUAAAGCAUGGAAAUGUCUGCGGUGCCUUACCGCCCACGGGUUCUCCCUGUCCUUAUUCACCAGGCUGCCUGAUAUGGAUGAAAGUGCCUUGUGCUCCUUCUGGGGACUGAACAGCACAAUGUUAUUGUCCUGCUAAUAGCAGACAGCUUUUACAGACCUGGAGAAAAGAGGCUGGGAGAGACACUGGGAAUACUGCAGCUUGCCUUAUUUGUGCCCCUGGGCAAUGUCGGCCAUCCCUAAGGACAGGCAGCAAGAUGCAAAGAGUGCUGGAGACAGAGCUCCAGGCAGAUCCUGUCACACUCACCCCUGACAGCUUUCCUUCCUGUAUUUUGCUCUAAAUCCUCCACACAUACGAUUCAUCAUUUCUUGACCUGUGCCCUGGUGACAAGCAGAGCGGAUCUGUGCUUCCUCUCCACACAGAGAGGCACUGGGGGUCUGUCCUGAGGGCUCCCUCAAGAGCAGCCCUAGCUAGGCUGCUGCUGCCUCUGCCUAUUUACCCUGACAGCAAAGCAAUGACGUCUUGCCUUAGCUUGCAGUUUUCCUCUGUGACGGCCAAGACAAGCUUGUUUUCCCUUAGCAAACACAUUCUCAUGUCUUUGUCAAGGAGGGACUCGCUCCAGCAGAGUAUUUACAAUGCCAGGACUGAGGCAGUGCAGGCUGGGCACCGUGGGCUCCUGUGAGAGGUCCAUGCAGUGAAGCCCAUCCUUCCCAACCCGCAGCCAUCAUCUGUCACUGUUGUUGGUGAAAAUCAUGGCCUGCUCACUCUCAAACCCUCAUACUCUGGAGUAGCUCCCCAGACCAAGAUCUGGUCAAGAUGAUGAUGAUCACCGUUAUUAGUGAAAUGUUAGCUGUUGUGGUUUCUUUCCCUUUAGGAGAGGGCAAUUUAUUAAAGCCAGAAUUGUUGAUGGGAGCUGAUUUGACAAAUGUCUCAGUUCGGAACCACUUCCUUCAGGAGGAAGCACAGGAACUGUUGAAACAAGAUUGUCUGUAUUUUUUAAAUGAAGAAAUGUUUUGAUUCAGGGGUCAAGUUGAAAAGAAGUAGGGCAAAGAGUCAAUUUUAGCUUAAAAAAUAUGCCAGAAACAUAAAUCAAAACGAACUCUAUUUUAGCAUCACUUAGAUACAAUGGUUUUAUAACCCUGAAGUAUUUAUUAUUUAACAUUUUGUUUCAUCCUUGGGCCAUGAAAAGCCUCUAGUUUUGAUAUUUGGCAGAAUUGGAAGGGGUUGUUAUUGAGGGGGGGCCAUUUGGAAAGCUCCUCGGGUCACCAAAGCCGUUUCUUCCCCUCUGGCAUUCAGAGCUUCUCAGUUUGCAGACUCAGCCCUUCAUCUUGCAGACUCAGCCGUCAGAUGGGAGAGUUCCCUUGUGGGGAUGGAGGCAAAAGCCUUGCUGGGUGAUACCCCAGGAGAGGCUGUGCCUCCAGCAGGCAGCCACAGCUCUCCUUCCUGUCCUGCGACUGUCAUUACUUUGUAGGAGUACCUGAACUUCAGCCUCAGCUCACGAG